UGUUGGAACACAUUUGCUUCAGGCACAGUGCUUUUUCUGAGUUUCGCCGAAUGUGAGGACAACAGAUAUGUCCUGGCUUUUUUAUAAUUCUGAAAAAUAACAAUAGGAGAAAAUUUAUGAAGGAGAUAUACAGAAAAGCAAAUAAAUUAAGGGAAUGGGAGGAAGAGAGAGUAGUUAACAAAUCAGGACAACUUCUAUUUUGCUGGUUUUUUUCUUUCAGUAAAAAGAGUUGAGCUAUUUUGCUCUCACAGAUCUUAAAAGUAUGCUCUGGCUGGCAGCCAUGGAUAGACAUGCUCUGAAACAUUGGCUUCUCAUUUCAAGGCGUAUUUUGUCUACACUGAAGCAGACCAGAAGAUGAAAAAAGGCUCACUCUUUUAGGAUUUCUGGUUGUGUGUUAUGAAAACAAACUCUAAAGCUGAAAUACAGUCUUGGCUUCUGAACAACAGCGCAACGUUUGGCAGUAGAAGAGUCGUGCCAAAAACUUGGGUGUGUCGGAAGACACACCUUGGACUUGUGGACUUGCUAUAGUUAGCCCUGGUUUUAAAGGCAAGGGAAUAGCAGUACCGAGAGGUUAAGAGAGGUGCUCCAGGAAGUGUCAAAACUGGAAUUUGAGUCCAAGCCACGUGACUGCAGAGUCAAGGUUCUCAUCAUACUGGACUGUGAUUAAGCAGAUGGUUUUGGGAGUUAGACUGCUGAGUCAAUGGCAGCUCUCCCCACUGUAUGCAGAUUGCAAGCCACGUGGACGUGUUCUACCAGACAAGAUGUGAAAUGGUGUAGCUCUGCCUAAGCCAAAUGACAUCAUUGAAGGACUUAUCAAUGGAACACACACAGAACCAAGACUCAGUGCCAAGAAUAACCUAUGAGAUAUAUCAAAUGGCACAGAACUCAUUAACUUAAGGUUAAGGAGACAACUCUAAAAGAAGAGAAAAAACUUCAGCUCAGCGCACCAGGCCUGCCCUCAUCCUAGGGCAUGCAGGUGCCCACUUUUGGCAACUAGAGCUGCCUGGAAGCAUUCUGGCUGAGUGACCCAGCAAGCAAGUCAGUCCACAGGGACCUCCUCCUCCUCAACAAACUUGACAUCUACCUGCCUGGUGACUGGAACAUCCCAGACAAUAGACUCUGCUUUUCAUUCCUUCUCCUCGCUCCAUUGGCUCACUGAGGGGAUAGUGUUGACCCAGUCCCACUCAAACUCAACACCGAGUCCAGCCAGCCCAGGAGGAAGCCCAUGCUGCUACCUGCCAACCUGCCCUGAAUAACUAUUGACUUUUUCUUAGACUUUGUUUACAAAAAUAUGUGUCCAGAGACAAGUGAUCCAAGUCCUGGAACCAAAGGUGAGUGCAGGUUUUAGAGGGCCUAUUGUGAACACAAUUUUGGGCCCUGUAUAUGAAGAAAAACCAUGUAAAAUAUAAUUGCAGUUUUGAAAAUAUAAAAUGAGCACAGGACUUUAGAAGAGCCCUCAAUAGGGGCUGGUGUUGUGGUGCAGUGGGUUAAAGCCACAGCCUGCAGUGUCGGCAUCCCAUAUGGGCACUGGUAAGUCCCAGCUGCUCCACUUCCAAUCCAACUGCUAACUGGAAAAAGCAGCAGAAGACAGCCCAAAUACUUGGGCCCCUGCACCCAUGUGGGAGACCUGGAAGAAGCUUCUGGCUCCUGGCUUUGGAUCAACCCAGCUCCUGCUAUUGUGGCUAUUUGAGGAGUGAACCAGCAGAUGGAAUAUCUCUCUCCCUCUCUGUCUCUCCCCUUCUCUAAACAAUAAAAAUUAAAAACAAGAAAAAAGAAAAGAUGAGGACUCAAUAAAUCAGGUCCCUCAAACUACAUGAGCAGCAAGGUAAAUUCAUUAUUGUCUGUGACAUUCAUGAAUGAACAUGGGAGGGCUCUUAACUGUAGGACUUGAAAAUAUACUUUGUGUUCAUAAAUAAGUUAUGAGGGCAAGGAUCACCCUUUCUGGUUUGUCAGCAUUUAGCUACAGCACCUACUGGUGGCUGGUCAUUAGUACUGGCCCAUGGAUGAUGUGUUUGUGUCUAUGAAGAAUCAGGUGAGAAGGCCAUAUAGCAGACAGGUGAGGUUACUGUAACAGAAGUGCUAAGGAAAGAGUCUGCUAUGGAAGCAGUGGUGCAUAAACAGGGAGAAGUUCAGUUCUAUUUGUGGCAGAGGAUGGGUAAUCAGAAGAAAAGCUUCCGAGACAAGACGAUCUGUAGACUGAGGUGUUGAAAGGUAUUUCAAGCACAAAGAACAGUGUGAGCUGAAACAUAGAGGUUUGAAACCAUGUAAAGAGUUCAGGGAUCACUAGAAGCUUGGUAGAGGGGAAGUAUGUAGUAUAGUACAAGAGGAAAAAGAAUGGUUAUAAGCAAGAAGUAAGGAUGAAAGGCAGGAAAAGAUGAAAUAUUAGAAGACUUAUUGGAGUUUGACCUUCAGCUUGUGCACUGUAGGAAGCCACUGAUAGCUUUCAAGCAAGGGAACGAAAUGGUAUGCAUUUUUGUAAUAUUAUUUUGACCCUUGUGUGAAGAAGGCUGACAAUACAGGCAGCAAGACACUUAGGGCCCUGUUGCAAUUGUCCAAGUAAAAGGUGGCGAGUGUCUAAUCCAAUUGUUGUGAUAAUGGUGGUCACAGGGACUGGGGGAUCAUGAGAGAUGCUAAGAAGAUGGCAUUCAUAGAGUUUGUUGAUUGAUGGGUUCAAUAAGGGCUGAGUUAAUGAAGAACAUUAAGGUAAUGCUUCUAGGGUGGAUGGAGGAGAUUUCUGGCAAUGAGUAGAGAAUAUAGGAGGAAGAGCAGGCUAGAAAGGAAAAGGUGUCUUCUGGAGGUGUUGGAUAUGAGGUGUUUGAGAAUCACUCAAACAGUGAGCAAAUAGACUUAAAGUUGGAGCCAAAGAGAUAUUUGGAAUCAGGUUUGGCUAUGAAUUAUCUGUCACCACCAUGUAAAUGGUAGCAUUUGAAGGGACUGUUAGUUAAUUAGGUUACCCAGGGAGAGGGACCACAGAGCAGAGACUGGGGGUGGAACACUAAAGAUAAAGGACAGACAAGUUCCACAUUUGCUCCUUUGGAAGUGUUGGAGUCCUGGCGCCUGUGUCCAGUGCCAUUGAAAGUGCUCUGUAAGUCCCCUCUUCUCUGGGUAAUAGAUACUGGCCUACCUCUGGAUUAAAUACUGCCUUCCUUUGCAGGUCUUGGUGGCAGCUUAGCUGCCUCCAUGCAGGGCUGGAUGUCCCUGCCACAUGCGCAGCACUUAGCACAUCUCAGCGUUUAUUUUGCUUGGCUUUACCAAUUGAUGGAUGGCUAGAUGGAUGGAUUUUUAUCUCUCAUUAUUUGCAAACUCUGAGGGCAAGCAGUUGAGGUGUCAUGAGUGCCACUCAUUAUAAGCAGUCAAUAAACAACUUCUGAAGUGGUAGCUGUGUGUUUGAGUGGGUGCCUGCAGGUGACUGCUUCCAGGAAAAGAGUUAAGUGGAAAUCCACUUACUUCCCCUGGGAGCAGUCAUGGCUAAGCAAUAUGCCUUUGGGCAGAAGCAGUCUAUUAAGGUAUUUGCCCUUGACUUGGUGUUCAGCACAUAAUGUGGUUCCCAAUGGCAUCCAUGAUAAGAAA